rnacentral:rRNA from 1 species
AUUGAACGCUGGCGGCAGGCUUAACACAUGCAAGUCGAGCGGGGGAAGGUAGCUUGCUACCGGACCUAGCGGCGGACGGGUGAGUAAUGCUUAGGAAUCUGCCUAUUAGUUGGGGACAACAUCUCGAAAGGAUGCUAAUACCGCAUACGUCCUACGGGAGAAAGCAGGGGAUCUUCGGACCUUGCGCUAAUAGAUGAGCCUAAGUCGGAUUAGCUAGUUGGUGGGGUAAAGGCCUAUCAAGGCGACGAUCUAUAGCGGGUCUGAGAGGAUGAUCCGCCACACUUGGACUGAGACACGGCCCAGCGUCCUACGGGAGGCAGCAGUGGGGAAUAUUGGACAAUGGGGGGAACCCUGAUCCAGCCAUGCCGCGUGUGUGAAGAAGGCCUUAUGGUUGUAAAGCACUUUAAGCGAGGAGGAGGCUACUUUAGUUAAUACCUAGAGAUAGUGGACGUUACUCGCAGAAUAAGCACCGGCUAACUCUGUGCCAGCCGCCGCCGUAA